rnacentral:rRNA from 1 species
UACGUAGGGUGCAAGCGUUAAUCGGAAUUACUGGGCGUAAAGCGCGUGUAGGCGGCUCGGUAAGUCUGCUGUGAAAGUCCAGGGCUCAACCCUGGGAUGCCGGUGGAUACUGUCGAGCUCGAGUCCGGAAGAGGCGAGUGGAAUUUCCGGUGUAGCGGUGAAAUGCGUAGAUAUCGGAAGGAACACCUGUGGCGAAAGCGGCUCACUGGACCAUUACUGACGCUGAUGCACGAAAGCUAGGGGAGCAAACAGG